UCACCCCUCAAGCCCUGUGCUUGGUGUUGGACGGCCGGUCGAGCGAUCGACCCCUCCUAAAGACAAUGACGGCGGCCUGUGGUUCCCCCGGUACACUGAGCUUUUCACCGAGCACGUAUCGGACAAGGGCACCCGGGACCCGGUCCUCUCCUUUAACUAGGAAACUUCUAA
rnacentral:misc_RNA from 1 species